GCCCUCGUAGCUCAGCUGGAUAGAGCACCGGACUUCUAAUCCGAUGGUCGCAGGUUCGAAUCCUGCCGAGGGCG
rnacentral:tRNA from 1 species